rnacentral:siRNA from 1 species
UCGUAGAUCGUUGAAGGUUUA